UGCUUGCUGGACUAGUGGCUAGCACGUGGCGCUCUCAUCACCACAGCCUGGGUUUGAUUCCUGGUCAGGGAU